UACGGAGGGUGCAAGCGUUGCUCGGAAUUAUUGGGCGUAAAGGGCAGGUAGGUGGUCUCAUUUGUCUGGGGUGAAAGCCUUGAGCUUAACUCAAGAAGUGCCCCAGAAACGGUGAGACUCGAGUACUGGAGAGGGUCGUGGAAUUCCCGGUGUAGCGGUGAAAUGCGUAGAGAUCGGGAGGAACACCAGAGGCGAAGGCGACUCUUUGGCCUGUAACUGACGCUGAGGCGCGAAAGCGUGGGGAGCAAACAGG
rnacentral:rRNA from 1 species